AUAUUGCACAAUGGGGGAACCCUGAUGCAGCGACGCCGCGUGGGCGAAGAAGGUCUUCGGAUCGUAAAGCCCUUUUCGUGUGACGAGGAAGGACGGUAGCACAGGAAUAAGUCUCGGCUAACUACGUGCCAGCAGCGCGGUAAAACGUAGGAGGCAAGCGUUAUCCGGAGUUACUGGGCGUAAAGCGCGUGCAGGGGUUGAGUAAGUGGGGCGUGAAAUCUCCGGGCUAAACUCGGAGGGGACGAACUAUACUCUGGACUAGACUGGAGUAGAGGGACGCAGAAUUCGGGGUGUAGCGGUGAAAUGUGCAGAGUCCCGAGGAAUACCAGAGGUGAAAACGGCGUCCUGGGCUCUAACUGACACUGAGACGCGAAGCGUGGGGAGCGAACGGGAUUAGAGACCCCGGUAGUCCACGCUGUAAACGAUGCCGGUAAAUUUCUGGGUCUCCAAACAGUAGCGGGCGCUGCAGCAAACGCGAUAAGCCGGCCGCUGGGGAGUACGGUCGCAAGGCUAAAACUCAAAUGAAUUGACGGG
rnacentral:rRNA from 1 species